CUAGGUCUCCCUUCUCGGCAACUCGACCCCCUUACCUCUCACUGGCCUCCUCUGUUCUCCUUCACAGCCUGGCCCUUGACUUCUUGGCCUCUUCCCCCACUUCCUUACCUGCAAUGUGUUGCCCCAACUGGGGUCUCCUUCACACCCUUCUCCGUGGUCCCAUCCCUUCUGACGCCAAACCCGAGCAUUCCUCAACGGCUCGGCCUGGUCGGCUUUGAGCAUGUUUUUGUGCCCAUGCCCCAGGGCUGGAAAAGGAGUGUGUGGUGCAAAGUGGGGGGGGGGCAAGAACCCCUCCUCGGCGGUGGCCCCUGGCUCGCCCCCCCUCCGCCCCUCCCGAGCCCGGGUUGCGGCGCUUCCUGGGCGGAUGGUUAGGACUUGCUGCAGCAGCUGCGGUUCUGCUGUGUCAUGCAAGGAGGCGGCAGCGGCGGCCGGAGCUGGAGGGGGAGGAGGGGACGAACCUGAUCUCUCCGGUAGCGAAGUGCUGGAGGCAAACACCGAGCUCCCCCAGAGCCGCCCGGGAGCAGGGAGGGCUCCGCACCCCCGGGGGGGCCCUCCCCGCGGGGCAGAUGAGGUCGAUAUCCAGACUCUCCUGAGCUGUGUUUUGGGGUGACCAAAGCGUUCCAUCCUCCUGACUUUCCAUAAAUGAUUGGAUUUAUAACCCACUCCAUACUUGAGAACAUGGGGAUUGGAAUAAGAGCUGCCACCCUCGCAGAAGCAGCAGGUUCGAGACAAAGUGAGGAAGGCGGCUAGAAGAGGCUCCUAUCCUUCUGAUAUGGCACACCACCACAAGACUAGACAGCAAAAACCUCAGUGCGCAGAAUUUAAAGAUGAAAGGAACUUGAGAGGUGACUGUAGCCAGAUGUUCUUUGAAUGUAUGGGUCUUCUAGAGCAUACCGCAUAGCCAUCCACCCUGACCUUGAAAUUUACCAAUGACAGACACUGGCUUCCUUUAUUUCACUUUUUUUUUUCCACUGAUAGAUGGGUAGAUAAAAAGCACAAAUGACAACUGCAGUCAAGUGGGCAAUGCCAAAAAAAAAAAAAAAGAUUAUUCUUAAUCUUGCCACCCUUUAUAAGAUCAACUAUUUUUGAAUUUCUGUUACUGAUCUAGGAAACCCCCACCCCCCCAAAAAAAUUAAAUAAAUGUAAAGAGGCUGAACCAUCUAGCUUAAAAUGGGGAAUGUAAAGAGGCUGAACCAUUUAGCUUAAAGAUACUUUGGAAAUUGUAUUGGUUCACGGGGUCCUUCACACCAUGAGAGUCAGACCCUGAGGAGGAGAAUUGUGUAAAGAAUGUGUAAGUCUCAAUACCUCAGUAUUUACCAAGUCUCUUCCUAAUUCAUCUCCUUUUGUCACACCUGUACAGCAAAAGAAAAUCUGUGAGACUAUCUUAUCCAGGGAUCUUUCCCACAUCUACAAAUACUAUUGGGUUGUCGGAAAAGUCAGGACGCAUUUUUACAACGAAAAACAUAGAAAAAAAUACAUCAUGACUUUUCCGACAGCCUAAUAUCUAGGUUGAACAAUGUGUUCCCAAGUUACCUAAAUUGUGCAUCUGACGGUAUUCCUUUCAAAGGAAAUUGGAGAGUGCAGCAAUAUUCUGAAAUGACCAGAUGUGACAACAUGAAAAACAAAAAUAACAAAAGAAAACCCUUCAAAGAGUGUGCCUUGCAGAAACAAUUAGAUGUCCUUUUCACCUUUGCUAUAUGGGAGAUUCUUCUCAAAUAAAAAUAGUUUACAAUAAAAGUGUUGUU